GCUUCCUUGGCUCAGUUGGUUAGAGCGCCAGUCUCAUAAUUGUGUGAGUAACUAUGUAGUUACGCAAUCUGGAGGUCGAGAGUUCGACCCUCUCAGGGAGCA